rnacentral:snoRNA from 1 species
AAGACUAUACUUUCAGGUAUCAUUUCUAUAGUUCAUUACUAGAGAAGUUUCUCUGAAUGUGUAGAGCACUGGAAACCACGAGGAGGAGGUGCAGCAUUCUCUCCUGAGCGUGAAGCCCGCUUUUGGUUUUGCUUCACUGCAACUGCUAUUUGUCAUUGAUGAUCAUUCUCUCUCUUUUUGGGGGAGUAAGUAAGAGGGAGAAGACACAGUCUGAGUGGU